rnacentral:rRNA from 1 species
AAAGACUGACGCUCAUGCACGAAAGCGUGGGGAUCAAACAGGAUUAGAUACCCUGGUAGUCCACGCUGUAAACGAUGAUCACUCGUUGUUGGCGAUAUACUGUCAGCGACUGAGCGAAAGCAUUAAGUGAUCCACCUGGGGAGUACGGCGGCAACGUUGAAACUCAAAGGAAUUGACGGGGGCCCGCACAAGCGGAGGAGCAUGUGGUUUAAUUCGAUGAUACGCGAGGAACCUUACCUGGGCUUAAAUGCAGAACGACGUUUCGUGAAAACGGAAUUUCCUUCGGGACGUUUUGCAAGGUGCUGCAUGGUUGUCGUCAGCUCGUGCCGUGAGGUGUCGGGUUAAGUCCCAUAACGAGCGCAACCCUUAUCAUUAGUUGCCAUCAGGUAAUGCUGGGAACUCUAAUGAAACUGCCUACGCAAGUAGUGAGGAAGGUGGGGAUGACGUCAAAUCAGCACGGCCCUUAUGUCCAGGGCGACACACGUGCUACAAUGGCCAGUACAGAGGGUUGCGAA